UUGCUGUGAUGACAAUCUUAGGA
rnacentral:piRNA from 1 species